GGGGGCGUAGCUCAGUGGCAGAGCAUUUGACUGCAGAUCAACAGGUCCUCAGUUCAAUUCUGGGCACCCCCU